rnacentral:lncRNA from 1 species
UCCACAGGUACAGGCAGCCCAGCAAGCCAGGGAAAGAUUUCCAAGCCGACAGAUGCGCGAACUGAAAAAGGAGAUGCAGGAUCUAUGGCGGGAAGGCCUGGGAGUGCGGCGAAGCUCCCCAGGCCCUCGGAUUCCGCCUGACUUCUCGGGUCUGCCCAGCUUCUCCAUCACCAGGGGCUCGCUCCGCUCCGCAGCGGCACCCAGCACCUUCGCGGUCCACCGCACCGCUGCCCACCUGGUUUCCUGCCAGGGCUCCCGCCCACCGCACGGUGACUGACAGGCCGGCGCGGACGGACGACCCCUCCGCGGGAAGACACCCCACGCCUAACUUUGAAACGCGGGGCUCCCCCGCUCUCCUCAGCGGCGCCCGGACCGCCGCCCCCUCCCUCGGCUCCUCGGGCCGCUUCCCACCUCCAGCCCCGGGCUCCCCGCGUGAGCUCGCGCCCCGGCUCCCGGGCCUGCAAGGGGGCUGGAGACAAAGGCUGCGGCGGCGGCCGCCCGGACCGUCCCCUCGGGGCCAGCGCCGCCCCCACCCCACCGGCUCGCGCGCCGCGGCUUCGCCUCGCCUCACCCGGGGUUCUCGGCCGGGGCUCCCGCGCCGGCCGCAGCUUCAGCCCGACGAACAAUGGCAGGAGGCGGCGCCCGCGUCCGAGGCUCCGGCC